GACGAACGUUGGCGGCGUGCUUAACACAUGCAAGUCGGACGAUGAAGCCGGAGCUUGCUCCGGUGGAUUAGUGGCGAACGGGUGAGUAACACGUGAGCAAUCUGCCCUUGACUCUGGGAUAACUGCGGGAAACGGUCGCUGAUACCGGAUACGACACCUUGGGGCAUCCCAGGGUGUGGAAAGAAUUUCGGUCAGGGAUGAGCUCGCGGCCUAUCAGCUAGUUGGUGAGGUAAUGGCUCACCAAGGCGACGACGGGUAGCCGGCCUGAGAGGGUGACCGGCCACACUGGAACUGAGACACGGUCCAGACUCCUACGGGAGGCAGCAGUGGGGAAUAUUGCACAAUGGGCGAAAGCCUGAUGCAGCAACGCCGCGUGAGGGAUGAAGGCCUUCGGGUUGUAAACCUCUUUUAGCAGGGAAGAAGCGAAAGUGACGGUACCUGCAGAAAAAGCACCGGCUAACUACGUGCCAGCCGCCGCGGAAA
rnacentral:rRNA from 1 species